rnacentral:rRNA from 1 species
AGAGUUUGAUCCUGGCUCAGGAUGAACGCUAGCGGUGCGCCUAACACAUGCAAGUCGAGCGUGAUUGAGAAGUAGCUUGCUACUUUUCAUGAAAGCGGCAAACGGGUGAGUNNNNNNNNNNNNNNUAGCUUGCUACUUUUCAUGAAAGCGGCAAACGGGUGAGUAAUAAGUUGGUACCUACCUCUAAGUCAGGGAUAGCCCAGGGAAACCUGGAUUAAUACCGGAUGUGUCCUACGGGAUAAAGAUUUAUCGCUUAGAGAGGGGCCUGCUUCCUAUCAGCUAGUUGGUGAGGUAAUAGCUCACCAAGGCAAUGACGGGUAAUUGGUCUGAGAGGAUGACCAGUCACAAUGGAACUGAGACACGGUCCAUACUCCUACGGGAGGCAGCAGUGAGGAAUCUUCCACAAUGGGCGAAAGCCUGAUGGAGCGACACCGCGUGAAGGAUGAAGGAUUUGUUUCUGUAAACUUCUUUUCUGUGGGAAGAUAAUGACGGUACCACAGGAAUAAGGGACGGCUAACUACGUGCCAGCAGCCGCGGUAAUACGUAGGUCCCAAGCGUUAUCCGGAAUUACUGGGCGUAAAGCGUCUGUAGGUGGAUAAGUAAGUUUUGUAUGAAAGACCGAAGCUCAACUUCGUGUUUGUAUAAAAUACUGCUUGUCUAGAGUCAGGGAGAGGUAAGUAGAAUUGUAUGAGUAGGGGUGCAAUCCGUAGAUACAUACAAGAAUACCAAAAGCGAAGGCAACUUACUGGAACUGUACUGACACUGAGAGACGAAAGCGUGGGGAGCGAAAAGGAUUAGAUACCCUUGUAGUCCACGCCCUAAACGAUGAGUUAAGUGUUCCCGCUUGUCGGGAGUGCUGUAGCAAACGCGUUAAACUAUCCGCCUGAGGAGUACGGCCGCAAGGUUAAAACUCAAAUGAAUAGACGGGGACCCACACAAGCAGUGGAUCAUGUGGUUUAAUUCGACAAUAAACGGGGAAUCUUACCCAGGCUUGACAUGUAGAGAACCCCACAGAAAUGAGGGGGUGCCCGCAAGGGAACUCUAACACAGGUGCUGCAUGGUUGUCGUCAGCUCGUGCCUUGAGGUGUUCGGUUAAGUCCGUUAACGAGCGCAACCCAUAUCGUUAGUUACUAUGUCUAACGAGACUGCCCGAGUUAAUCGGGAGGAAGGUGUGGAUGACGUCAAAUCAGCAUGGCCCUUAUGCCUGGGGCCACACACAUGAUACAAUGGUCGGUACAAAGAGUAGCAAUAGUGCAAAUUGGAGCUAAUCUCAAAAGCCGAUCUCAGUCCGGAUUGAGGUCUGAAACUCGACCUCAUGAAGUUGGAAUUGCUAGUAAUCGUGAAUCAGAUAUGUCACGGUGAAUAUGUUCCUGGGUCUUGUACUCACCGCCCGUCA